UAAAAAAAGGUAAGCUACUAAGAGCGAAUGGUGGAUGCCUUGACUGGUAAAGGCGAUGAAGGACGUACUAGACUGCGAUAAGCUAUGGGGAGCUGUCAAGAAGCUUUGAUCCGUAGAUUUCCGAAUGGGGCAACCCAAUGUAUAGAGAUAUACAUUACCUAUAUAGGAGCGAACGAGGGGAAUUGAAACAUCUUAGUACCCUCAGGAAAAGAAAUCAAUAGAGAUUGCGUCAGUAGCGGCGAGCGAAAGCGCAAGAGGGCAAACCCAGUGCUUGCACUGGGGGUUGUAGGACUGCAAUGUGCAAGAGCUGAGUUUAGCAGAACAUUCUGGAAAGUAUAGCCAUAGAGGGUGAUAGUCCCGUAUGCGAAAAACAAAGCUUAGCUAGCAGUAUCCUGAGUAGGGCGGGACACGAGGAAUCCUGUCUGAAUCCGGGUCGACCACGAUCCAACCCUAAAUACUAAUACCAGAUCGAUAGUGCACAAGUACCGUGAGGGAAAGGUGAAAAGAACUGAGGUGAUCAGAGUGAAAUAGAACCUGAAACCAUUUGCUUACAAUCAUUCAGAGCACUAUGUAGCAAUACAGUGUGAUGGACUGCCUUUUGCAUAAUGAGCCUGCGAGUUGUGGUGUCUGGCAAGGUUAAGCAAACGCGAAGCCGUAGCGAAAGCGAGUCUGAAUAGGGCGCUUAGUCAGAUGCUGCAGACCCGAAACGAAGUGAUCUAUCCAUGAGCAAGUUGAAGCUAGUGUAAGAACUAGUGGAGGACUGAACCCAUAGGCGUUGAAAAGCCCCGGGAUGACUUGUGGAUAGGGGUGAAAGGCCAAUCAAACUUCGUGAUAGCUGGUUCUCUCCGAAAUAUAUUUAGGUAUAGCGUUGUGUCGUAAUAUAAGGGGGUAGAGCACUGAAUGGGCUAGGGCAUACACCAAUGUACCAAACCCUAUCAAACUCCGAAUACCUUAUAUGUAAUCACAGCAGUCAGGCGGCGAGUGAUAAAAUCCGUCGUCAAGAGGGAAACAACCCAGACUACCAGCUAAGGUCCCUAAAUCUUACUUAAGUGGAAAACGAUGUGAAGUUACUUAAACAACCAGGAGGUUGGCUUAGAAGCAGCCAUCCUUUAAAGAAAGCGUAAUAGCUCACUGGUCUAGUGAUUUUGCGCGGAAAAUAUAACGGGGCUAAAGUAAGUACCGAAGCUGUAGACUUGCACACAACUUAGAUUAUUUAAGUUUAGAAUAUGAGAAACUAAGUUAUAUGUUUAGUUAUAUUUUUACUGAUUUUUAUAGAGUAAAGAUAGAAAUAAAACUUAGUAAAAUCAGUAAAAAUAUUCUUAGGCUAAAGUUAAGUAGUUUAAGUUGUGUGCAAGUGGUAGGAGAGCGUUCUAUUUGCGUCGAAGGUAUACCGGUAAGGAGUGCUGGAGCGAAUAGAAGUGAGCAUGCAGGCAUGAGUAGCGAUAAUUAAUGUGAGAAUCAUUAACGCCGUAAACCCAAGGUUUCCUACGCGAUGCUCGUCAUCGUAGGGUUAGUCGGGUCCUAAGUCGAGUCCGAAAGGGGUAGACGAUGGCAAAUUGGUUAAUAUUCCAAUACCAACAUUAGUGUGCGAUGGAAGGACGCUUAGGGCUAAGGGGGCUAGCGGAUGGAAGUGCUAGUCUAAGGUUGUAGGAGGUUAUACAGGCAAAUCCGUAUAACAAUACUCCGAGAACUGAAAGGCUUUUUGAAGUCUUCGGAUGGAUAGAAGAACCCCUGAUGCCGUCGAGCCAAGAAAAGUUUCUAAGUUUAGCUAAUGUUGCCCGUACCGUAAACCGACACAGGUGGGUGGGAUGAGUAUUCUAAGGCGCGUGGAAGAACUCUCUUUAAGGAACUCUGCAAAAUAGCACCGUAUCUUCGGUAUAAGGUGUGGUUAGCUUCGUACUAGGAUUUACUCCGAAAGCGAAGAAACUUACAACAAAGAGUCCCUCCCGACUGUUUACCAAAAACACAGCACUCUGCUAACUCGUAAGAGGAUGUAUAGGGUGUGACGCCUGCCCGGUGCUCGAAGGUUAAUUGAUGGGGUUAGCAUUAGCGAAGCUCUUGAUCGAAGCCCGAGUAAACGGCGGCCGUAACUAUAACGGUCCUAAGGUAGCGAAAUUCCUUGUCGGUUAAAUACCGACCUGCAUGAAUGGCGUAACGAGAUGGGAGCUGUCUCAAAGAGGGAUCCAGUGAAAUUGUAGUGGAGGUGAAAAUUCCUCCUACCCGCGGCAAGACGGAAAGACCCCGUGGACCUUUACUACAGCUUGACACUGCUACUUGGAUAAGAAUGUGCAGGAUAGGUGGGAGGCUUUGAGUAUAUGACGCCAGUUGUAUAUGAGCCAUUGUUGAGAUACCACUCUUUCUUAUUUGGGUAGCUAACCAGCUUGAGUUAUCCUCAAGUGGGACAAUGUCUGGUGGGUAGUUUGACUGGGGCGGUCGCCUCCCAAAUAAUAACGGAGGCUUACAAAGGUUGGCUCAGAACGGUUGGAAAUCGUUCGUAGAGUAUAAAGGUAUAAGCCAGCUUAACUGCAAGACAUACAAGUCAAGCAGAGACGAAAGUCGGUCUUAGUGAUCCGGUGGUUCUGUGUGGAAGGGCCAUCGCUCAAAGGAUAAAAGGUACCCCGGGGAUAACAGGCUGAUCUCCCCCAAGAGCUCACAUCGACGGGGAGGUUUGGCACCUCGAUGUCGGCUCAUCGCAUCCUGGGGCUGGAGCAGGUCCCAAGGGUAUGGCUGUUCGCCAUUUAAAGCGGUACGCGAGCUGGGUUCAGAACGUCGUGAGACAGUUCGGUCCCUAUCUGCCGUGGGCGUAAGAAGAUUGAAGAGAUUUGACCCUAGUACGAGAGGACCGGGUUGAACAAACCACUGGUGUAGCUGUUGUUCUGCCAAGAGCAUCGCAGCGUAGCUAAGUUUGGAAAGGAUAAACGCUGAAAGCAUCUAAGCGUGAAGCCAACUCUAAGAUGAAUCUUCUCUAAGCUCUCUAGAAGACUACUAGUUUGAUAGGCUGGGUGUGUAAUGGAUGAAAGUCCUUUAGCUGACCAGUACUAAUAGAGCGUUUGGCUUAUCUUUAUAAAGCAU
rnacentral:rRNA from 1 species